UUUUCUCAUGAUGGCUACGAAGCGAAAUAUAUCGGCAUUUGGUCGUUUGGCACUGGCCAUAAUGCGCUGUGGCUGUGUUUUUGUCAUUGUGCGAUUUCGGUGUUUGAGCGUAACAUAUACACCUUCGCCUUAUGAUCUCACCGUAUUCAUUAAAUAUAUAUGGAUUUCUUCGUGUUUUAAUGUGAAACGAUAUUUUUUUGCAAUUCAGUUAUGUCUAUUUAUAUGCUAAAUUACAAUUCUGUAAUUUUGUGCUUUAGUAUGUUUAUAACUUUAUUUUUGUUAUAAAUUUUAAAUGUUUCUUAAAAACAAAUAAAACUUUUUUAAAUGUAACGUUGUUAAUAAAUAAUAUAUUUGAAUCGAAUUUUUUCGUACAAUUUAUUUUGUAAUUCCGCAUUACUGUGAUGUACUAUACCUCAGAGGUGGCCAACAAGUCGAUCGCAAAGCCAACUUUAGUCGAUUGCACGCGAUAUUUUAACUUA
rnacentral:lncRNA from 1 species